GCCGUAAAGCGCCGCGCGACGGGUCGCGAUGCUAGGGAGCGGCCUCGGUGUCCUAGCAACGGCGGCGCGCCGGCUUCCCGUAUCGCGCCGGUGGAAGCGUGUGUCGCACAGAAAUACGGCCUCGGGAAGAGGCCUGUGUGGGGCUGCCAGCCGGCAGCUGAAGAGCGAGAAGAGAACCUUCUAACCGCCGGAGAACCCAGCCGAGAAGCUCUCUUCUCCCCUUGCCACGCUGCAAGCGGGUGGGCACCGCAGCUGCUGGAGCAGGGCUGGGUGACAAAUAACGUCAACACCUUUAAAGCCCUGAAGUGUUUUAAUCAUCACUAUGAUAAAGCAUUGCAAGGGUUGCUAAUAAAAUACACGUGUUGGAUGUUGUACGUUUUUCAAGGUAUAAAAGGAACUGGAUUAUGAUCGCUGUCUUUGAAGUUGUACCCACAUUAUAACCUGCUGUUGCAUGGCUGCUAUAAACAGGUGUCAAGCAUGUACACACACUGAAUGUUCAGUAUAUAUUUUUAAAGUUAUUUUACAAAGGAGCACGUUUGCGGAAGUCAUCCUGAUGAUGGCUAUGUGAAAAACAAUUUUUUUUCUCCCCCGAGCAUAGAUGAUGUGCUUUGCCUCAAUGCCUAUUAUUUUCAAAUGGAGGCCUUGGUACUGACAUGUCAAGUCUAUUUAGAAAGGGAUUAUCAAUUUACAGGAAUUGCAGUCUUCAGUGUAGAAUACAUAAUGAGUCUUAAAUUUCUUCCAGCCAGUCAGGGUUUUCCUCUUUGUAAUCUUCAGACAGCUUUUUCCAUAGUUAAACAUAAUGCAUUCCAAAACCCAGGUGUGAUUUCAUCUCACCUGAAAGGGAGCAGUGUUCUUAAUCUAGUGGUUAGAGAGGAAUUUUUCUGGAGAAGUGGUUCAAUUCAUAAGAGAAAUGAGAAUUGUUAUGAGAAUGGGAUUUCCCAAGAUUACAGAAUCCUUGGGGGUAGUGAAAAAAUUAGAAGGGGAAAUACACUUACAUGUGACCACAGAUAAGGGUAUCAAGUCUUGCAUGAAACCCAUGCUGUAAUGUUUUCAGCUGUUAUUUUAUCAGAAACUUCUGGGGGUAAAUCGAAUUGUAAAAGUGCCAUCCUGUUACCUGUAAAUCAUAAUAAUCUUGUACUGUAAUAAAGUGAACAUUUUUUAAUUUAUUUUUUUUUUUAA